UACAGGGGGUGCAAACGUUGCUCGGAAUCAUUGGGCGUAAAGCGCACGUAGGUGGUCGUUUAAGUCGGAUGUGAAAGCCCUGGGCUCAACUCAGGAAGUGCACCCGAAACUGAUCGGCUUGAGUACGAAAGAGGGUCGCGGAAUUCCCGGUGUAGAGGUGAAAUUCGUAGAUAUCGGGAGGAACACCAGCGGCGAAGGCGGCGACCUGGUUCGAUACUGACACUGAGGUGCGAAAGCGUGGGGAGCAAACAGG
rnacentral:rRNA from 1 species